rnacentral:rRNA from 1 species
AACGAUGAAGCUUNUAGCNUGCUAGAAGCGAAUUAGUGGCGCACGGGUGAGUAAUGCAUAGGUAACANGCCCUUUAGUNUGGAAUAGCCACUGGAAACGGUGAUUAAUACUGGAUACUCCCUACGGGGGAAAGUUUUUCGCUAAAGGAUUGGCCUAUGUCCUAUCAGCUUGUUGGUGAGGUAAUGGCUUACCAAGGCUAUGACGGGUAUCCGGCCUGAGAGGGUGAUCGGACACACUGGAACUGAGACNCGGUCCAGACUCCUACGGGAGGCAGCAGUAGGGAAUAUUGCUCAAUGGGCGAAAGCCUGAAGCAGCAACGCCGCGUGGAGGAUGAAGGUUUUAGGAUUGUAAACUCCUUUUGUUAGAGAAGAUUAUGACGGUAUCUAACGAAUAAGCAC